CCUCAGGAGCUUCCUGCUGUGCUCGUUUCGCUACCUCGGUAUCAAGCUUAUUCUCAGCUCCCCCCUUUACAACGAAAGCUGGCGGGGCCCCGCGGA
ensembl:ncRNA F40E10.14 ncRNA